GGAUCCAGACUUUGAUUCUGGCUCAGGAUGAACGCUAGCUACAGGCUUAACACAUGCAAGUCGAGGGGAAACGAUAGAGAAAGCUUGCUUUUUCUGGGCGUCGACCGGCGCACGGGUGAGUAACGCGUAUCCAACCUGCCCACCACUUGGGGAUAACCUUGCGAAAGUAAGACUAAUACCCAAUGAUAUCUCUAGAAGACAUCUGAAAGGGAUUAAAGAUUUAUCGGUGAUGGAUGGGGAUGCGUCUGAUUAGCUUGUUGGCGGGGUAACGGCCCACCAAGGCGACGAUCAGUAGGGGUUCUGAGAGGAAGGUCCCCCACAUUGGAACUGAGACACGGUCCAAACUCCUACGGGAGGCAGCAGUGAGGAAUAUUGGUCAAUGGGCGAGAGCCUGAACCAGCCAAGUAGCGUGCAGGAUGACGGCCCUAUGGGUUGUAAACUGCUUUUAUAAGGGAAUAAAGUGAGAGUCGUGACUCUUUUUGCAUGUACCUUAUGAAUAAGGACCGGCUAAUUCCGUGCCAGCAGCCGCGGUAAUACGGAAGGUCCGGGCGUUAUCCGGAUUUAUUGGGUUUAAAGGGAGCGUAGGCCGGAGAUUAAGCGUGUUGUGAAAUGUAGAUGCUCAACAUCUGCACUGCAGCGCGAACUGGUUUCCUUGAGUACGCACAAAGUGGGCGGAAUUCGUGGUGUAGCGGUGAAAUGCUUAGAUAUCACGAAGAACUCCGAUUGCGAAGGCAGCUCACUGGAGCGCAACUGACGCUGAAGCUCGAAAGUGCGGGUAUCGAACAGGACUAGAAACCCUGGUAGUCCGCACGGUAAACGAUGGAUGCCCGCUGUUGGUCUGAAUAGGUCAGCGGCCAAGCGAAAGCAUUAAGCAUCCCACCUGGGGAGUACGCCGGCAACGGUGCAACUCAAAUGAAUUGACGG
rnacentral:rRNA from 1 species